GUUAAAACGCUCGUAGUUGGAUACCUGCCAAGGGUGGUCGGUCCUCCUCAGUGGAGAGUACCGGGGUUAGCCCUUGGCGCUAGUUCAGGAAACGUGUGCGCUUAAUUGUGUGCCGCGUGACUUGAACUUUUACUUUGAGGAAAUGAGAGUGUUUCAAGCAGGCGUUUGCCGUGAAUAUGAUAGCAUGGAAUAAUAGCAUCGGGCCCCUUUCCAAAGCUGUUGGUUUUUGGAACGAGGUAAUCGAAAUAAGGAUAGUUGGGGGUAUUCGUAUUUAACUGUCAGAGGUGAAAUUCUUGGAUUUUUUAAAGAUGAACUAUUGCGAAGGCAUCUACCCAGGAUGUUUUUGUUGAUCAAGAACGAAAGUUAGGGGAUCGAAGAUGAUUAGAUACCAUCCUAGUCUUAACCAUAAACUAUGCCGACUGGAGAUCGGAGUCGUCAGGUUACUGACUUCUUCGGCAUCUUGAGAGAAAUCGAAGUCUUUGGGUUCCGGGGGGAGUAUGGUCGCAAGGCUGAAACUUAAAGGAAUUGACGGAAGGGCACCACCAGGAGUGGAGCCUGCGGCUUAAUUUUGACUCAACACGGGAAAACUCACCAGGUCCAGACAUAGAUAGGAUUGACAGACUGAUAGCUCUUUCUUAAUUCUAUGGGUGGUGGUGCAUGGCCGUUUUUAGUUGGUGGAGUGAUUUGUCAUGUUAAUUCCGUUAACG
rnacentral:rRNA from 1 species